rnacentral:sRNA from 1 species
UAUCCCCCAAACCAAGGGGGGAUGAGAACCACCGACCGAGGUUCGACAACUGGCGCAGCCAGUUGGACAGACGACGAGCCUGCGAGGAGACUGCCCGAAGGGCGAGCGCAGCGAGUCAAUCCCCCCCUCACCGCCA